UACGUAGGGGGCUAGCGUUGUCCGGAUUUAUUGGGCGUAAAGAGCGUGUAGGCGGCCUGGUAGGUCUGCUGUGAAAACUCGAGGCUCAACCUCGAGAUGUCGGCGGAAACCAUCUGGCUAGAGUCCGGAAGAGGAGAGUGGAAUUCCUGGUGUAGCGGUGGAAUGCGUAGAGAUCGGGAAGAACAUCGGUGGCGAAGGCGGCCAGCUGGGCCAUUGCUGACGCUGAGGCGCGAAAGCGUGGGGAGCAAACGGG
rnacentral:rRNA from 1 species